GCCCAUGUGGUGGGACACGCCAAAAUGCAAAUUUGGAGACGCACCCUAACAGGUGCCGGGGCUUCUCCCGUCGUCUAGUGAAACGGGAGAAGC
rnacentral:tRNA from 1 species